AACCUAUUGGAAUAGUUCAUAAUUACGGGGUGUGAUACCUGCUUCAAUUUGAUGGGGAUUUCCUAACACUAAUGAAUUUAUUGCAUAAGAUGCUUUCUCGAUGUAUUGUUUUAGUAUGUUGUAUGUGAUAAUUCUAACUUUUAUUUUCCAUUUUGCCUUUAUUAUACAUAAAAGAUAACACCCUUGUCAUUAUUGAGGAGAAUGAUUACGGCGAAGGCCAAAGCUCAUCAAGGCAAGGCUGAUGCGAUUCAUCAGAGUGAUACCUCGGGUUUCCGAACCACGGUGGCCAAGAAAGGAAGUCGACCAAUAAGGGGAAGGUUAUUAAGUUUGUUUCUAUAUCAAUAGUUUUGCCACCUUCCUAUGAGAACACCAGGUUGCUUCAUAUUAAGAGGAACAAGGUGGAUCCUAGUAAAAAUGGGUCAUUGAUAUGGACGUCGUAGCCUUUAUAGACUUUGAGAUGGGUAGCUUUAUCAAAGGUGAUGAUGUUGCCUUUUCCAAGGACGGAUCUUCUUCCGCUCUUAGCGAGGAAGGGUUUCAGUUCUAGGAUAGGAGCUUCAAUGGGAUGGAUUUCACCUAUGAUCAUCUUCAUGCCACUAAUGAUGUGGAAAAAUGUGAAGUCAUUAGGCUCUCAAAAGAAAUUUAAGCUUCUCAAAACUUACCUAAUGAGGAGCGUUGUAUUCGGUUGGGCUCUAUUUGAAUAUUACGGUGUUUCGACAAAGAAAUGGGGAGACUUGAAAGCUCAGCUCAAAAAUAUGUAAGACGGUCAUGAGCUUAGACAGACCAUACUGACUUUUUCCAAAGGAAGGAUAACUACUCUCGAUAAGUAAUUGGAUGAGACUAGGAUUGCCUCUAAGAAGUUCGGGAAAUGAUAAGUGAUUUUUGUACCGUUAUUUCUAGUCAUUUUUACUUAGCAUUUCAUUGAUUUUUGAUCGUUUUAUUUCCGUUUAUCGUAUUUUACGCUUUGGUUAUGUGUGUUUUACUAUUUUAUGGCAUAAUGAGUAUUCGAGAUGAAAAGGGAUCGAAAACGACUGAAACAUAGAAAAAAGGCAAAACUCGGAAAACCCCCAUACAAAAUCCAGAGGGCUUCUACGACCACCCGUAGCGGUUGCCCGUAGCAGUAAGGCACAUAGGGUUCCCACUAUGCAACCCUCCAAUACAAAGACCAGAGGCCUUAUACAUCUACCCAUAGCAGCAGGGCGAGGUAGAUUUCACUUUUUUUCUUUUUUAGACCGACUCUCAUGUUUUUGGCUUUUAUGCAUGAUGAUUUGAAUGAUUUCAUAUGUAAUGAGCAUUGAACAAGAGAUUUUAUCCUAGUUUUAUGUUUUUCUACAAAACUCAUAGUUGGUUAUGAGUUUAGAAUCCAGUUUUUAUUUUGCAAAGUUUCUACUUAUUAUUUAUUUCCUUUGUACUCAAGUCUCUUUUGGAGCAAUUUGGAUCAAAAUAUUUGUUUUCAUAUUAAUUUGCUUAUCUAUUUCAAUUGUCUGUUAUGAAUUCAUUUGUGAACAUCAAAUUGGUUGUGUUUUACCUCAACAUGAGUGAGCAAUCCAUUAGGGAUUGUG
rnacentral:lncRNA from 1 species